UGGGUUUGACAUGCACAGGACGUGCCUAGAGAUAGGUAUUCCCUUGUGGCCUGUGUGCAGGUGGUGCAUGGCUGUCGUCAGCUCGUGUCGUGAGAUGUUGGGUUAAGUCCCGCAACGAGCGCAACCCUUGUCUCAUGUUGCCAGCACGUUAUGGUGGGGACUCGUGAGAGACUGCCGGGGUCAACUCGGAGGAAGGUGGGGAUGACGUCAAGUCAUCAUGCCCCUUAUGUCCAGGGCUUCACACAUGCUACAAUGGCCGGUACAAAGGGCUGCGAUGCCGUGAGGUGGAGCGAAUCCUUGUAAAAGCCGGUCUCAGUUCGGAUCGGGGUCUGCAACUCGACCCCGUGAAGUCGGAGUCGCUAGUAAUCGCAGAUCAGCAACGCUGCGGUGAAUACGUUCCCGGGCC
rnacentral:rRNA from 1 species